rnacentral:rRNA from 1 species
GGGUUGUGAGGUUAAGCGACUAAGCGUACACGGUGGAUGCCCUGGCAGUCAGAGGCGAUGAAGGACGUGCUAAUCUGCGAAAAGCGUCGGUAAGGUGAUAUGAACCGUUACAGCCGGCGAUGUCCGAAUGGGGAAACCCAGUGCAAUUCGUUGCACUAUCGUUAACUGAAUACAUAGGUUAACGAGGCGAACCGGGGGAACUGAAACAUCUAAGUACCCCGAGGAAAAGAAAUCAACCGAGAUUCCCCCAGUAGCGGCGAGCGAACGGGGAGCAGCCCGGAGUCUGAAUCAGCUUGUGUGUUAGUGGAAGCGUCUGGAAAGUCGCAGGGUACAGGGUGAUACUCCCGUACACUAAAACGCACAGGUUGUGAACUCGAAGAGUAGGGCGGGACACGUGGUAUCCUGUCUGAAUAUGGGGGGACCAUCCUCCAAGGCUAAAUACUCCUGACUGACCGAUAGUGAACCAGUACCGUGAGGGAAAGGCGAAAAGAACCCCGGCGAGGGGAGUGAAAAAGAACCUGAAACCGUGUACGUACAAGCAGUAGGAGCCCACUUGUUGGGUGACUGCGUACCUUUUGUAUAAUGGGUCAGCGACUUAUAUUCUGUAGCAAGGUUAACCGUAUAGGGGAGCCGCAGGGAAACCGAGUCUUAACUGGGCGUUAAGUUGCAGGGUAUAGACCCGAAACCCGGUGAUCUAGCCAUGGGCAGGUUGAAGGUUGGGUAACACUAACUGGAGGACCGAACCGACUAAUGUUGAAAAAUUAGCGGAUGACUUGUGGCUGGGGGUGAAAGGCCAAUCAAACCGGGAGAUAGCUGGUUCUCCCCGAAAGCUAUUUAGGUAGCGCCUCGUGAACUCAUCUUCGGGGGUAGAGCACUGUUUCGGCUAGGGGGUCAUCCCGACUUACCAACCCGAUGCAAACUACGAAUACCGAAGAAUGUUAUCACGGGAGACACACGGCGGGUGCUAACGUCCGUCGUGAAGAGGGAAACAACCCAGACCGCCAGCUAAGGUCCCAAAGUCAUGGUUAAGUGGGAAACGAUGUGGGAAGGCCCAGACAGCCAGGAUGUUGGCUUAGAAGCAGCCAUCAUUUAAAGAAAGCGUAAUAGCUCACUGGUCGAGUCGGCCUGCGCGGAAGAUGUAACGGGGCUAAACCAUGCACCGAAGCUGCGGCAGCGACACUAUGUGUUGUUGGGUAGGGGAGCGUUCUGUAAGCCGUUGAAGGUGGCCUGUGAGGGUUGCUGGAGGUAUCAGAAGUGCGAAUGCUGACAUAAGUAACGAUAAUGCGGGUGAAAAACCCGCACGCCGGAAGACCAAGGGUUCCUGUCCAACGUUAAUCGGGGCAGGGUGAGUCGACCCCUAAGGCGAGGCCGAAAGGCGUAGUCGAUGGGAAACAGGUUAAUAUUCCUGUACUCGGUGUUACUGCGAAGGGGGGACGGAGAAGGCUAUGUUGGCCGGGCGACGGUUGUCCCGGUUUAAGCAUGUAGGCGGAUGUUCCAGGUAAAUCCGGAACGUCACUAACGCUGAGGUGUGAUGACGAGGCACUACGGUGCUGAAGUGACAAAUGCCCUGCUUCCAGGAAAAGCCUCUAAGCAUCAGGUAACAUCAAAUCGUACCCCAAACCGACACAGGUGGUCAGGUAGAGAAUACCAAGGCGCUUGAGAGAACUCGGGUGAAGGAACUAGGCAAAAUGGUGCCGUAACUUCGGGAGAAGGCACGCUGAUGGUAAGUGAAGCGACUUGCUCGUGGAGCUGAAAUCAGUCGAAGAUACCAGCUGGCUGCAACUGUUUAUUAAAAACACAGCACUGUGCAAACACGAAAGUGGACGUAUACGGUGUGACGCCUGCCCGGUGCCGGAAGGUUAAUUGAUGGGGUUAUCCGUAAGGAGAAGCUCUUGAUCGAAGCCCCGGUAAACGGCGGCCGUAACUAUAACGGUCCUAAGGUAGCGAAAUUCCUUGUCGGGUAAGUUCCGACCUGCACGAAUGGCGUAAUGAUGGCCAGGCUGUCUCCACCCGAGACUCAGUGAAAUUGAACUCGCUGUGAAGAUGCAGUGUACCCGCGGCAAGACGGAAAGACCCCGUGAACCUUUACUAUAGCUUGACACUGAACACUGGUCCUUGAUGUGUAGGAUAGGUGGGAGGCUUUGAAGUGUGGACGCCAGUCUGCAUGGAGCCAUCCUUGAAAUACCACCCUUUAAUGGCUGGUGUUCUAACGUGGGCCCGUAAUCCGGGUUGCGGACAGUGUCUGGUGGGUAGUUUGACUGGGGCGGUCUCCUCCUAAAGAGUAACGGAGGAGCACGAAGGUCAGCUAAUCCUGGUCGGACAUCAGGAGGUUAGUGCAAUGGCAUAAGCUGGCUUGACUGCGAGCGUGACGGCGCGAGCAGGUGCGAAAGCAGGUCAUAGUGAUCCGGUGGUUCUGAAUGGAAGGGCCAUCGCUCAACGGAUAAAAGGUACUCCGGGGAUAACAGGCUGAUACCGCCCAAGAGUUCAUAUCGACGGCGGUGUUUGGCACCUCGAUGUCGGCUCAUCACAUCCUGGGGCUGAAGUAGGUCCCAAGGGUAUGGCUGUUCGCCAUUUAAAGUGGUACGCGAGCUGGGUUUAGAACGUCGUGAGACAGUUCGGUCCCUAUCUGCCGUGGGCGCUGGAGAAUUGAGGGGGGCUGCUCCUAGUACGAGAGGACCGGAGUGGACGCAUCACUGGUGUUCGGGUUGUCAUGCCAAUGGCAUUGCCCGGUAGCUAAAUGCGGAAGAGAUAAGUGCUGAAAGCAUCUAAGCACGAAACUUGCCCCGAGAUGAGUUCUCCCUGACUCCUUGAGAGUCCUGAAGGAACGUUGAAGACGACGACGUUGAUAGGCCGGGUGUGUAAGCGCAGCGAUGCGUUGAGCUAACCGGUACUAAUGAACCGUGAGGCUUAACCUUACAACGCCGAAG